AUUGAACGCUGGCGGCAGGCCUAACACAUGCAAGUCGAGCGGUAGAGAGAAGCUUGCUUCUCUUGAGAGCGGCGGACGGGUGAGUAAUGCCUAGGAAUCUGCCUGGUAGUGGGGGAUAACGUUCGGAAACGAACGCUAAUACCGCAUACGUCCUACGGGAGAAAGCGGGGGAUCUUCGGACCUCGCGCCAUUAGAUGAGCCUAGGUCGGAUUAGCUAGUUGGUGAGGUAAUGGCUCACCAAGGCGACGAUCCGUAACUGGUCUGAGAGGAUGAUCAGUCACACUGGAACUGAGACACGGUCCAGACUCCUACGGGAGGCAGCAGUGGGGAAUUUUGGACAAUGGGCGCAAGCCUGAUCCAGCAAUGCCGCGUGCAGGAUGAAGGCCUUCGGUUGUAACUAGCUUUGUACGGUACGAACGGUAGAGCUCUAAUACAGUUGCUAAUGACGGUACCGUAAGGAAUAAGACACCGG
rnacentral:rRNA from 1 species